UACAGAGGGUGCAAGCGUUAUUCGGAAUUACUGGGCGUAAAGCGCGCGCAGGCUGUUUAGCAAGUCUGAUGUGAAAGCCUUCGUUUUAAGCGGAGAAGUGCAUCAGAUACUACUAGACUAGAGUACAGGAGGGAGGAGCGGAAUUCAUGGUGUAGAGGUGAAAUUCGUAGAUAUCAUGAGGAACAACGGAGGCGAAGGCGGCUCCUUGGACUGUUACUGACGCUGAGGCGCGAAAGCGUGGGGGAGCAAACAGG
rnacentral:rRNA from 1 species